AUUGAACGCUGGCGGCAUGCUUUACACAUGCAAGUCGAACGGCAGCGCGGGCUUCGGCCUGGCGGCGAGUGGCGAACGGGUGAGUAAUGCAUCGGAACGUGCCCAGUAGUGGGGGAUAGCCCGGCGAAAGCCGGAUUAAUACCGCAUACGACCUGAGGGUGGAAGCGGGGGACCGAAAGGCCUCGCGCUAUUGGAGCGGCCGAUGUCGGAUUAGCUAGUUGGUGGGGUAAAGGCUUACCAAGGCGACGAUCCGUAGCUGGUCUGAGAGGACGACCAGCCACACUGGGACUGAGACACGGCCCAGACUCCUACGGGAGGCAGCAGUGGGGAAUUUUUGACAAUGGGGGCAACCCUGAUCCAGCCAUGCCGCGUGCGGGAAGAAGGCCUUCGGGUUGUAAACCGCUUUUGUUCGGGAAGAAAUCCUCUGGGCUAAUACCCCGGGGGGAUGACGGUACCGGAAGAAUAAGCACCGGCUAACUACGUG
rnacentral:rRNA from 1 species